rnacentral:rRNA from 1 species
GACGAACGCUGGCGGCGUGCUUAACACAUGCCAGUCGAGCGGUAAGGCCUUUCGGGGUACACGAGCGGCGAACGGGUGAGUAACACGUGGGUGAUCUUCACUGCACUUCGGGAUAAGCCUGGGAACCUGGGUCUAAUACCGGUUAUGACUUCCUAUCGCAUGUUGGUUGGUGGAAAGAUUUAUCGGUGGGGGAUGGGCCCGCGGCCUAUCAGCUUGUUGGUGGGGUAAUGGCAUACCAAGGCGACGACGGGUAGCCGGCCUGAGAGGGUGACCGGCCACACUGGGACUGAGACACGGCCCAGACUCCUACGGGAGGCAGCAGUGGGGAAUAUUGCACAAUGGGCGAAAGCCUGAUGCAGCGACGCCGCGUGAGGGAUGACGGCCUUCGGGUUGUAAACCUCUUUCAGCAGGGACGAAGCGCAAGUGACGGUACUUGCAGAAGAAGCACCGGCUAACUACGUG